UACGUAGGUGGCAAGCGUUGUCCGGAUUUACUGGGUGUAAAGGGCGUGCAGCCGGAGAGACAAGUCAGAUGUGAAAUCCACGGGCUCAACCCGUGAACUGCAUUUGAAACUGUUUCCCUUGAGUGUCGGAGAGGUAAUCGGAAUUCCUUGUGUAGCGGUGAAAUGCGUAGAUAUAAGGAAGAACGCCAGUGGCGAAGGCGGAUUACUGGACGAUAACUGACGGUGAGGCGCGAAAGCGUGGGGAGCAAACAGG
rnacentral:rRNA from 1 species